GCUGUGCCUAUGCCGUGGGAGACCUACAGCAAGCCCCCCUCUAGCUCUAGUGGGGCAAAAGCUCCCAUUUAAAGAGCACCUGGUCACACCUGUUAGGCAUCACCAAUUAAGGUGGUGUGGCCAAACAGGCAGGGGGGGGAGGGGAGAGCUCUACCCAUCACACUACCUUUUGCAGGGACAUUACUUGUGGCGAACAGAUAUGGUGUGUGGAGUGGCCCAACCCGGACUCCCUAGUUGUUGUUCUUGGGGACUUAACAAAGGAAAUCUCCAUCAGGAAUUCACAUCUGCUCUGCAAAGCUGUGGUGAGGGAAUUGAAGAAGUGGACCAGAGAAGCACUGGAGGAUCUUUGGGCGUGCUUAGACUGCACAGACUGGAUUUUCAGGUCUGCUACCAACAGUCUAGAUGAGUUCAGAGAGGCUGUAACUCCGUGUAUCGGCUUCUGCGAGGGCAGUUGAAUACCAUGUAUACCAACAACUGCAUAAGGAUCAGGCAUUUAGGAGUGAGACUUGUACACAGAGUCAAAAUACAGGUUAAGCAAGGCAGUGAGAGAAGCUAGACAAAUGUCUUCUGAGAAACUGCAACACCAGUUGACAAGUUGAUACCAAAACUGAGUCUUUGACUUUGUAACAUUAUGACUAUCACAAAAUUGCCCCCAAGAAAUAUAAUUUUUUCACCGAUAUCACGAGGAGAGGGGCGAAAAACGCCCCCAUAAUUUCCAACAAUAAUUACAAUUUAGUUAACUUGUCAAAAACAUUGUAGCCCUAAUGACCCGGAGAGUUGCAAUAGAAUCUUUUGAUUCUUGCCUUUACUGAUGUUGCGUGUGCGGGAAGAAUGCAACGUCCUUAAAAACAACAAACUGCCAACGUUGUUGUCAACCACUAUCGGCGAAGUAUUCUGCUCACUUUAUCAGGGGGAGCGAAAACAGAAAUACGUGUCCUUUCGUCACCAGGCGACCGAGCAACACACCCUCUCCUACGAAGCAUGGAUUAAUCAGAUCAAUAACAGAGACAAGUGUGGAAGCUGUGAAUCGGGUGCAAAGACAGCGUUCUGCAAAAUGGUCACGCUGUUUUACAUUGCUUCAGAUAUUGCUUUACACAAGAAACUACAAAGAAAUAAAAAUUGAAUAAGUUUGAUUUAUGUUUUCUGUUUUAUUAUUAAGAAACACAUCUGUUGACUACUGCCUAAUGGUCGGAUUGCUGUCAUUUGGUGACAAAUGUAUAUACAGGGACCCCAAAUAAGCAUAUUUAUUAUUUUUGACAAAGGUUAAAUGUUAUUUCACAGGUUUUAAAAAAGCUCCCAAAUACUUGAAUGCCCCUGGUUUCAGUCAAUGGGGGCAAAAAUUCAGGAUCAAACUGACCAAAGACGACUUUCAGCGUAAGUGCUCUCACUCUAGCUAACUGGUGGGACACUAAUAUCUGCAGUAAACAUCAUGGUGAAGAGGGCGUCCUCGCUUACUCUUUUCUCUAUGCUAUUUUGCUGACCUGCAUACAUACGUCUCAAUUCAAAAAAUAUAACUGAAUGUAGAAUGUAUUCAGCUCAGCAAAAUAACAUACCGGAAAGAAAGCUUUGGAGUCUUGCUUUAGCGACAAAGACAAGUGCAUUACUGGCUCACUGAUUAUUAUUCUAUCAACGGCAUUUUCAGAAGCCACAGAGAAUAGCAGUAUCAUCAAAGCAGGGUGGUAACAAAACACUAUUUUUUUUGUUGAAUUCACUUACAAGAACAUACCGAUUGACGAUGACACAACUUAUCGGUGUAUGAUUGAAUUUCUUGUAAAAAAUUCAUGGUAUUGGAUCUAGGCUAUUCACAUCUAUCUUUAAGCGUACAGAUGUUAAAUCGAGGCUGGAGCAUACUAAGUGCAAAUAGCAGCGUUGGCGAGGGAGUUCAUUUUAUCCAUGCAUUGAAAGCCCUCUCUGACUGCGUUUGUGAUGAGCACUACCCAGACCACAGCCAACCUCUAUCACUAAUUAGCAUUCUCUUUACCCCUGCUACCUAAUAUUGAUUCCAGAAAUUAACAUCCUUUUCUCUUCUACCCACUCCCUCCACACUCCCUGUCUUGCCUUCUAUCACAAUGGCUCUAACUCCACACAUCCUCUCCUUUUUUUUUUUUUUUGCUCAACGCUGUCUUUUUGGGUUAAUGCACGCACAUUGCUAUUCUUGUGGUGAACACAGGAUUGAAGACGAGAUGUGUAGCCGGUCAAGUCUGCCUCGCUUUCAUCCUGCUGCUUUUGAAUAGAUAAAGAGACUAACUACAUUUGCAUAAUCACACUAAGACAAAGUCUCUACUAUGUAGAGAUGGAAAUUGAAGACGAAGUACUUAAGUCACAAUUUUCCACAGAUCUAGAGGCAUAUCCAUGAGGUUACAAGAGAGUGGUGUAUAUUAUAAAGUAUAAGGGCUAUGAAUGUUCAAUUGAACGAUAAGGUUGACUGGUACUGUAUAUAGGUAUUAAAUCAGCAUAAUGCUACUCACAUAUGUAAACAUUUAAGAUUGACAGGCGUAAAGCAGUUCUGUCAUAACACUUAAAUUCACCUUCUCACCAUUCUCCAAAGCAAACAUUUGAGGGCACUGUUUGCGGCGUUGAGGAGAGCUUUCUUCUCCCUAUUAAUGCUUAUUUUGCUCUGCGCAACCAUGUGAUGUAAAGUUAAAAAAACAUAAAUUCCCUGCAGAGUAACAGGGACUCCAGCAGAGCCACAAGCCUGACAAUAUGCAAUAUCAAAACCAUGGAAACAGGAGAGACAUGUGUGGGGACCUCUAUGGACUAGCCGCCACUGGUUCCCAGUAUUAUCAGCCGGACAACAACAUUCUGGACAACAAGGGUAACACAAGGUUAGAGUUGUGCUAAG
ensembl:lncRNA